AUCUCCCUUUGUUUACAAGACUGAGCAGGAAAAGACAAUUUUGCUGACUUCCUCCGCACUCCAUGUAAAGAUGGUUUGGUGAGAAUAAAAGCAUCAGUACUGGUUUUAUUAAAGUGAUAUACACAUUGUUUAUUCCACACGUUAAUAUAAAAUAAUAAAGCAAUGAACGAAAACAGUAAUAAAUGCAAUAUAUGUGGUCAACAAGAAUGUCAAGGACAUUUACAUUCGAACAUACAUGUAGAAACAAACACUGAAGAUGAAAAAAACAAACCUGCCAUUG